GAUCCUGCCAGUAGUCAUAUGCUUGUCUCAAAGAUUAAGCCAUGCAUGUGCAAGUAUGAACCAAUUUGAACUGUGAAACUGCGAAUGGCUCAUUAAAUCAGUUAUAGUUUGUUUGAUGGUACGUGCUACUCGGAUACUCGUAGUAAUUCUAGAGCUAAUACGUGCAACAACAAACCCCCCGACCUUUUGGGGGAGGAGGGGGGGCGCGCGCAUUAUUUAUUA
rnacentral:ncRNA from 1 species